CCCUCGCGCAGCUCCUACGCCAGCCUCCGACAAUCCCUUUAGUGUGGAAAGGCUUAGAGAGGAAAACAAGAAAUGAAAAUUAGGAAAUCUUUCCUUUGUUUCUUUAACUCCUUUUGCUUUUUUUCUUUCCUGUCAGCGCUCUGCCUGUAGAGGAGUUGGCACGGGUCGCCGGGCGUUAAAGGAGCGGACGGUUUUGUUAAUUGUGCCCCUCCUGUGCUGGCUGCUUGAACUGACAGCCAUCAUAUGGGAUUUCGCCCCAGUGGCUCGGGACCCCGCGCUCACUCUCUGCGUUUUGCACUUCGGAGGCUUUGAAACCGCUCGCGGCCCCCUCUGCACAGACUUGCUCUGCCGGGGCCGCUCUGGGAAGCAAUACUCAUCCCGUUCCAGAAGAACAAAAUCACAGCAUGACGUUGAAACCUGGCACGAACCUGGGGGAACUUAACCAUCUGCCUUGCCUACUAAAGUGUGGAGCUUCGGCAUUGCCAGCUCUGGGCUGGGCGGGUCUCCCGGCUGGUCAGGCGUUGCGCUGCCCGCACAGGCACACCAACGAUAACCAUGGACUGGCUUUUCCCAGGUGACAGUCAAGUGGUCAUGGUCACCAGCACACUGAGCCGCAUUAAGGUACCAAGCACUGUGGCGGAUACUUGGGAUUCAACAGUGAAUCAAGCAGUUGCUGCUUUUGAAGAACUCCUUGCCUAAUGGGGGAAAUGGGCCCCAUUCAUAUUGUCAGGUAGUGGAAAUUUCAUCUCAGUCAAUUCAGCGUCUUAGCCUACUUGCAUCCUUGGAGAGGAGAUCUGGUUACUGGCUGCUGUCAUCUCUUGCCUCCUCCCUUCCCCCCCCCUUUCACAGUCCACAGCCCUCUGAGCUUCUGUCAGCAAAGAUGGAGGCUGUUAUUUUCUCCUCCCACCAGCACGGCCUCUCCAGAUCUGUCUUUUACUUGGUUACUUCUGUGCUCUUCUUAGACACAUGGAAGGUCUGGCUGUUCCCCGCAUCACGCUGGAGCGAGGAAAGGCUCUCUCAGGUCUGGCUGCCUACAAUCCCCACACCACCUUACCCCGUGUGUGCGCUUCAUCAGAAAGGUCUUAAGUCCAUCACUGGAUGCUCUGCUGCCUAGGCAACAGCAUUCGGGCCAGCUCUCAGCAACGUGGUACUCGAGAAUGUUUCGAGCUCCACGCGUGGAGCGUUUUGUGCAACCUGCCAUGUGCUCUUGGUCUUGUUGUCGGUGGAGAGUCUUGUGCCGACUCAGCGAAGCCAUCAGAUGCACUUGUGUAUCUUCUUGGGUAUAGGAUCUGAGAGGAAAGAGUUUCUAUAUUUCAACGAUGUCAUCAUCAACAUCAUCAUGUUCAGGUGACCAUACUGAUGCCGGUGGCAUCUCCCCGCAUCCCCUUGCUUGUAAGUGUCUGAUCAAUGUGCUUUUGAACUGUGCUACGUUGUCAUCUGGGCACUUGGGACCAAAAGCAUCGACUUUCACCUGCAAGGCAACCACAGGAAAAAUGCAGGAAACAACAUUUGCGCGUCUGCACAGGAUUCACCAGCUGUGCUAAAACAAGAUAGGUAGAACUGAAUUACGGAAGCAGUGCAAAAAGUCCACCACCACGACCCCCAGUUAUAACAAGAGCUGCUAUUUAUGGAACAACUCUUUUGUGCCUGGUGCCAUGCUAGACUCUUUACGUUCCGUUCUCCAAUUUAAUUUUCCCAACAAACCUAGAAGGCAGGCACUUUAUAAAUAGAAGAAUGAGUUUAGAGAGAUUAAGUGACUUGUCCCUGGCCACAUAGAGAGUUAAGUGGAGCCAGAAUUUGAACCCAGAUCACUCUGACCUUGGAGCCCUCACCCCUAGGCUGGGAUGGUGCCAGGUGGGCAGGCUUGCUGGGCAUCUUAUUGUUAUCACCGAAUCCCUAGCACUGGUCCUCACCUAGCACAACAGUAGGUGCACAAUGUCCCUUAAAAGGAAACGAUUGAUUGCUCGUAUUAGAAGUUAAUGCUCUGUGCUUUGAAGCGUUUCCUUUCAUCAGGGUCGUGAGGCAAAGUUACCUAAUAGGCAUAGGUCCUUCCCUUUCUGUGUUCCAAGAACCAUUAAUUCUCUCGCCAGCUCUCCAGUGUAUCUCCACGCCACCCUCACUUUCUGGUGGGGCUCACCCUCGUCUUACAUCAGGAUGCCGAGAUGGUUUCCGAACUCGUCUUCCUGAUGCUUUUCUUAUUUUCCUCUAAUCCAGGCUCUACACAGUAGCCAAUGUACUCUUUCUAAUCUAGCAAUCUGCUCACAACCCUGCAGGGAUCUCCCACGUGCCUAGAACAACACUGGGCUCUUUCAGGUGGUCUUUGAGGCCCCUUAUGAGCUGAUGCCUCCUGUUUUUAGGGCCUCAUU